UUCUAGGUGUGGUAUAAAAAGCUAAAAUUUGCUGACCACUGCAAUGGGCAUGUGGAAAACACAUUUAAAAUGGCAGUGGACUUAGCUGUAAAAUGUAGUUAAAGGGAUAGUUCACCCAAAAAUAAAAAUGAUGUCAUUAAUAACUCACCCUCAUGUCAUUCCAAUCCUGUGAGACCUCCGUUUAUCUUCGGAACAUAGUUUAAGAUAUUUUAGAUUAAGUCCAAGAGCUGUAAGUCCCUCCAUUGAAACUGUGUGCACGGUAUACUGUCCAUGUCUAGAAAGGUAAGAAAAACAUCAUCAAAGUAGUCCAUGUGACAUCAAAGGGUCAUUUAGAAUUUUUUGAAGCGAAAACUUUGCAAUAGAUGAAAAACCAACUGCUCCCUCGUGACCUUUUGUAAACUGUAUUUAUGACCAAGAACUGCACAGAUACAGAUAUUCUAACAAUCUAUCGAUAAACACAUACCCUGUGUCCUCUGUGUUUAUGUGUACUUGCGCUGCUCCGCCGCAGUCUGCGGAUUGAAGAGCACGCUAAAGACGGAGAGGAGACUGGUCUGACACCGGUUUCAUAUUAAAUUUAAAACUCUCUGGAGUCUAAGGGUAUUUUUGGGGCCUGGAGAAGUUUUGUCAUGCCCUGACAUUUGUGCUUUUUCAGUUUCUUAUAAAUAUCUAAAUGGGUAAAGUCUAAUCUCACUGUAAUCAGCACAAACUGGGCUAUAAUAAUAUGUGAAAUGCAUGUAUGUAUAUGAUUGUGUUUUUUGAGAAAAAAAAUAGAAAAGGAAAAAAAAGGCCAUAAAACACAUAAAGAACAAUGGUUCCCAGGAUUUUUGAGAACUGGAGCUUGUAGCCUAGAAUUUUUCUUUCUAAAUUAUGUGAAAAUCAUCUUGUUUACUCACUCAUAGAAAACAAUAUAUUGAUUUAAAUUUUCUAAGACACUUUUUGUUGGUAAAAGUCAAAUGCGAGUAGGCAUCAACUAUCUAGAAUAUCAUUGUGAUUUACACCUGAGAAGACAAAGGGCCACAAAAUGAGCUGCAUAAUGAGCCUCUCAGUCAGCUGUGCCACUGUGAGUGAGGAGUAAAGAAUGUGAGAACAAAAUAAAUGUAUAUAAUUUUAUGUUUGUAGUUUAUUUAGAAUAUAUUUAAUUAUCCCACAACAUAAUUUAAUAUCCACUUGGGGGAGCAGUUAAACAGUUUAUUAGAAACAGGGACUGACUCUUUAUUACAGCAUUUGCAUAACAGCUGUUACUUGAUGCGUUUUAUUCUUCUACCGAUUACUGAAAUUACACAGAUUCAUUUUGGCAUUAAUAGUUUUGGCACAGUAACACAUAAUUCAGAGUCUGAAGAAGUGAACAGCUUCGAGUAGAAUGUCAUGGGUUGUCAUCUAGUAAUUACAACAUGGCAUGAAUGCAGCACAAUUAUAUUUAAUAUUUACAUAUAAUGUAUAUAUUUUUAGGGAUCCAUAUGUAAUUGCCCUAAGAUCAGUUGCUCUACCCUCUCACCCGCCCACAGAGGAAUUCCACAGGGGUGAGGUGGUCUGCGCUGGCUUCACAAUUUAUGAAGUUUCACAAAGUGUCUCGAAGAUUUCCUACUAUAACCAGACCAGUCCAGAAGUCCUGCCAUACAUCUCCACUGACAUUGCAGGCCUCUCGUCCAGUUUCUACUCAAUAUUCUGUGCAUGCAGGCAGUACCUACUGGACAACAUAAUCAGCACAUCUGUGUUCACCUCUUCUGCAUUAUAACUAGCAGCUGCUGGGCUUAACUGAAUCAUGAUGUGCUACGACUGAUAUUUCAGUUUAUGCUUUUACAGGGGCCAUAUCUAAUUUUUUUGUAGUAUUCUUAAUUUUUUCCUACUAGUCUAUUAGGGUAAAGCUAGGAAUAAACUGAGUUCAGAUACUCAUGAGUUUGUGACACAUUGCACACGUUACGUUAUCAGUUAACCUGCACGACUGUACUGUAUGGUAAACACAGGUUGAACUUUCAGUGUUGCUGCUAUUGCUUUGGAAAGAAAAAGAAAAAAAACAUUGACUGUGCAACCCAGACAGCAAUCAGUUUUGGCCCGAUUUUGGCCCGCAUGGUUUUCAAACUGGCCAGAUGUGGGCCGGAUCUGGCCCAACACUAUGUUGCUGUCUGGGAAGUUUUAGAGAACAGCAAAGUAAUUUGGUUAAAAAUGGAGAGUCUGCAAUCUCCAGUUGUGAUGUGUCUGUGUAUGAUUUGGGAACGGGGUGAAUUCUGGUCAUAUUCAGACCGACCUUUGAAUUCUUUCUCAGGAAUUUUCCUCACUGUUUGCUCAUAACAAAUAUAUUGACUCACUGAA